GUGAGGUAACGGCUCACCAAGGCAUCGACGGGUAGCUGGUCUGAGAGGAUGAUCAGCCACACUGGGACUGAGACACGGCCCAGACUCCUACGGGAGGCAGCAGUAGGGAAUCUUGCGCAAUGGGCGAAAGCCUGACGCAGCAACGCCGCGUGGGGGAUGACGGCCUUCGGGUUGUAAACCCCUUUCAGCAGGGACGAAAAUGACGGUACCUGCAGAAGAAGCUCCGGCCAACUACGUGCCAGCAGCCGCGGUAAUACGUAGGGAGCAAGCGUUGUCCGGAAUUAUUGGGCGUAAAGAGCUCGUAGGCGGUUCGGUAAGUCGGGUGUGAAAAUCCAGGGCUCAACCCUGGGACGCCACCCGAUACUGCUGUGACUAGAGUCCGGUAGAGGAGCGUGGAAUUCCUGGUGUAGCGGUGAAAUGCGCAGAUAUCAAGAGGAACACCAGCGGCGAAGGCGGCGCUCUGGGCCGGUACUGACGCUGAGGAGCGAAAGCAUGGGGAGCAAACAGGAUUAGAUACCCUGGUAGUCCAUGCCGUAAACGUUGGGCACUAGGUAUGGGGUCUUAUCAACGGAUUCCGUGCCGUAGCUAACGCAUUAAGUG
rnacentral:rRNA from 1 species